rnacentral:rRNA from 1 species
UACGAAGGGGGCUAGCGUUGUUCGGAAUUACUGGGCGUAAAGCGCGCGCAGGCGGUUUUCCAAGUCAGUGGUGAAAGCCCGGAGCUCAACUCCGGAAAUGCCAUUGAAACUGUAAAACUUGAGGACGAGAGAGGUGAGUGGAAUUCCCAGUGUAGAGGUGAAAUUCGUAGAUAUUGGGAAGAACACCGGUGGCGAAGGCGGCUCACUGGCUCGGUUUCUGACGCUCAGGCGCGAUAGCGUGGGGGAUCAAACAGG